rnacentral:rRNA from 1 species
GGGGAAGUGGCGGAAGGGUGAGUAACACGUGGGUAAUCUGCCCUCGGGUCCGGGAUAGCCCUAAGAAAUUAGGAUUAAUACCGGAUAAUACCUGGAGAACAUCAGUUUUCCCGGUCAAAGGUGGCCUCUUCUUGAAAGCUACCACCUGUGGAUGAGCCCGCGGGCAAUUAGCUUGUUGGUGAGGUAACGGCUCCACCAAGGCUUUGAUUGCUAGCCGGCCUGAGAAGGUGAUCGGCCACACUGGGACUGAGACACGGCCCAGACUUCUACGGAAGGCAGCAGCUAAGAAUAUUCCGCAAUGGGGGAAACCCUGACGGAGCGUCGCCGCGUGGGUGAUGAAGGCCCUUACGGGUUGUAAAACCCUGUUUUGGAGGAUGAAUAAGGUCCGGGUGAAUAAUCCGGACCGAUGACCGUACUUCAAGAGAAAGCCCCGGCUAAUUACGUGCCAGCAGCCGCGGUAAUACGUAUGGGGCGAGCGUUGUUCGGAUUUACUGGGCGUAAAGGGCGCGCAGGCGGAUAUGAAAGUUGAGUGUGAAAUCUACGGGCUUAACCCGUAAACUGCAUUCAAAACUACAUGUCUUGAGUUCAGAAGGGGAGAACGGAAUUCCUAGUGUAGGGGUGAAAUCUGUAGAUAUUAGGAAGAACACCGGUGGCGAAGGCGGUUCUCUGGUCUGAAACUGACGCUGAGGCGCGAAAGCUAGGGUAGCGAACGGGAUUAGAUACCCCGGUAGUCCUAGCCGUAAACGUUGAACACUAGGUGUGGGAGGUUUUUCUGACCUUCUGUGCCGAAGCUAACGUAUUAAGUGUUCCGCCUGGGGAGUAUGCCCGCAAGGGUGAAACUCAAAGGAAUUGACGGGGGCCCGCACAAGCGGUGGAGCAUGUGGUUCAAUUCGAUCCUACGCGAGGAACCUUACCAGGCUUUGAAAUGUACUCGACCGGUGCAGAGAUGCGCCUUUCCGCAAGGACGAGUGCACAGGUGCUGCAUGGCUGUCGUCAGCUCGUGUUGUGAGAUGUUGGGUUAAGUCCCGCAACGAGCGCAACCCCUAUCCUUUGUUGCCAUCAGGUUAAGCUGGGCACUCGAGGGAAACUGCCGGUGUAAAUCGGAGGAAGGUGGGGAUGACGUCAAGUCCUCAUGGCCUUUAUGGCCUGGGCUACACCCGUGCUACAAUGGCCGGUACAGAGGGUCGCUAAAUCGCAAGAUCAUGCAAAUCUCUUAAAACCGGCCCCAGUUAGGAUUGGAGUCUGCAAUUCGACUCCAUGAAUCUGGAAUCGCUAGUAAUCGCAGAUCAGAAUGCUGCGGUGAAUACGUUCCCGGGCCUUGUACACACCGCCCGUCACACCAUCCGAGUCAAAUGUACCCGUAGUCAACUUUCUAACCUGCAAAGGAAGGAAUUGCCGAAGGUAUGCUUGGUAAGGAGGGUGAAGUCGUAACAAGGUA